UACGGAGGGGACUAGCGUUGUUCGGAAUUACUGGGCGUAAAGCGCGUGUAGGCGGCCGAUUAAGUCUGGUGUGAAAGCCCGGGUCUCACCCCCGGAAGUGCGCUGGAAACUGGUCGGCUAGAGUAUGGGAGAGGAAAGUGGAAUUCCCGGUGUAGUGGUGAAAUGCGUAGAUAUCGGGAGGAACACCAGUGGCGAAGGCGACUUCCUGGCCUGUUCUUGACGCUGAGGCGCGAAAGCUAGGGUAGCAAACGGG
rnacentral:rRNA from 1 species